UAGAUGAGAUCAAUAGUGGCAUUAGCUAACCCUUUAUAUUCAGAUUUAGUAUUUGAGCAAGCAAUGGCACAUUAUUUCUUGGCACUUUGAGAAUAAGAUUAGGACCAAGAAAUUAAAAAAAUCCCCUAAUAAAGUGACGAUCAUCUGGGUUCACAGCCUAAUUAGCAUCAAAAAAAACAUGUUGUAGGAAGAAGACUUGGUGAUCGAGAGGCCAUGAUGAAUAAUGUGUUUCAAGUAAUAAAGAAUAUGCUUGAAAGCUUGCCAAUAGAGAGUAAUGGGGUGAUGCAUAAAUUUGUAGACAUAAUUAACAGCAAAGACAAAAUCAGGUCAUAUUAAGGUAAGAUACUAAAGUGCUUCGAUACUACUUCAAUAUUG
rnacentral:lncRNA from 1 species